rnacentral:rRNA from 1 species
UACGUAGGGUGCAAGCGUUGUCCGGAAUUAUUGGGCGUAAAGAGCUCGUAGGCGGUUUGUCGCGUCUGCUGUGAAAACUCGGGGCUUAACUCCGGGCCUGCAGUGGGUACGGGCAGACCAGAGUGCGGUAGGGGAGACUGGAAUUCCUGGUGUAGCGGUGAAAUGCGCAGAUAUCAGGAGGAACACCGGUGGCGAAGGCGGGUCUCUGGGCCGAGGCCGACGCUGAGGCGCGAGAGCGCGGGGAGCGAACCGG